GACGAACGCUGGCGGCGUGCCUAACACAUGCAAGUCGAACGGAGAUAUGAUUUCGGUUGUAUCUUAGUGGCGAACGGGUGAGUAACGCGUGAGCAACCUGACUCUUAGAGGGGGGAUAACACUCGGAAACGGGUGCUAAUACCGCAUAAGACCACGACAUGGCAUCAUGACGAGGUCAAAGGAGCAAUCCGCUGAGAGAGGGGCUCGCGUCCCAUUAGAUAGGAUGGCGGGGUAACGGCCCACCAUGUCAACGAUGGGUAGCCGAGCUGAGAGGCUGAUCGGCACACUGGAACUGAGACACGGUCCAGACUCCUACGGGAGGCAGCAGUGGGGAAUAUUGGGCAAUGGGCGCAAGCCUGACCCAGCAACGCCGCGUGAGGGAGAAGGCUUCGGGUUGUAAACCUCUGUCCUUGGUGACGAAAAAAUGACGGUAGCCAAGGAGAAGCCCCGGCUAACUACGUG
rnacentral:rRNA from 1 species